AUGCGUUUCUGCCAUGGUUGGCUCAGCUGAAUGCACCUCUUGAACAAGACUUGGCCUUGGACACCCAGAGGCCCUUGGUUGAGGGUUUACCUCCUGGCAUGGCCACUGACACAUCCACGUUUGGCUCCCACAUGGCUGGGUGGUCCGAGACCUGCUCUUCCUGGGCUACUCAUUGGUGGCAUUUCUCAAGUUUGUCCCCUGUAAAGUCUGCCCCAUCCGGGAAACCAAACACCUCUCUCCUACAUGGAAACCCCCGUCAGCACCUCUUCCUGACUCACAGGGCAUCCCGUCAACAUCACAGUCCCGACCUUCCCACACAGACAAGCUCAUGGGACCCCCUGAUGGACCAGGACAGCGCCAGCACUAAGAAAAGCCCUGAAACUCACAGGAAGAGUGGACCAAGAAGACGGGAACAGCACGGGGCACUGGGAGCUGCAAAUGCCCCCGAUACUGUGAGAGAUGGAGAAAGACUUCUCUUUUCUGUCCUCAUUGAAAAGACAGCCAGCUUUUGUAACCUUGCCUUGGGGAUGUUAGCAGGAGAAAUGUUGGCAAUUCAAGGCUCUUCUGGUUUUAUAAGAAAACCAGAUUUUGCUGGGAGGCCUGGAGUAGAAGAGAGGGCCUUGGAGAAGCAAAAAUGGGAGGAGAGACCUUCUUAGAGAUCAGGAGGAGCAGGUUUGCUUCCAGAACACAGGUGUCAUGAAAACCACCCCUAAAAGCCAAAAUGGGAGAGGAAAAGAUUCAAUCAAUGUUGUCAUCGUUGGACACAUAGAUUCGAGCAAGUCCACCACUACUGGCCAUCUGAUCUACACAUGUGGUGGCAUCAAAAAAGAACCACUGAAAAACUUGAGAAGGAGGCUGCUGAGAUGGGAAAGGGCGUCUUCAAAUAUUCCUGGGUAUUGGAUGAACUGAAUGCUGAGUGUGAAUGUGAUACUGCUCACCAUUGACGCCUCCUUGUGGAAAUGUGAGGCCAGCAAGUGACUAUCGCAGAUGCCUUAGGCCACAGAGACUGUCAAAAACACGAUUCCAGGGACAGAUCGGGUUGGCUGUGUUGUCCUGAUGAUCACUGCUGGUGUUGGCACCUUCGAAGCUGGUAUCUCCAAGAACGGACAGA